UAGUUUCUGGGAAAUAUCAACACUGUUAGUUGUGAUAGCUCAUCAUUAACAUGGUAAGAUUAACUAUCAAUAAUGAUAAAGAAAUGUAGAAAAUAAGUCAGACAAAGCUGAUUUGGGCAGUGUAUUUGUAGGGAAAUGACAUCCCAACAAUAACAAAAGGAAUCCUUAUUUGUUUUCACCAAUUUGGAGGAACAAUAAUCUAUAAUCGGUGCUGAAUAAAUAACAUUAUAUCGUAGGAAGGUAAUAGGAUCAGCAUUCCCCGCUAAGAGAAGAAAAAUCAUAGACGAUAUCCUGUCAGUCAAAAAUGCUAAACUCCAUCGACUUAAUUAAAUGCUUAACAUUUAAUGAAGACGCAAUAGUAAUAAUAAAUCAUUAGGUGAUAUCUAAAAGAUAAUAACCAAAUUCACGAGACCACGACUGCCACUGAAAAUUGACAAUCAAGAACAUUAAGAUUAAGCCUGAUUAGUAAAUGGAAACCCUGGGGGUGAAAAAAGGAUAGAAGUAGAGAAAAAGCGAGAGAGAAUGACCUCUUCAACGGCCUUCUCUCUCAGUCGCUCAGAUAACCUCAAUGCCUUGAUCUCAGCU
rnacentral:misc_RNA from 1 species